rnacentral:hammerhead_ribozyme from 1 species
CAACGACUGAGGAGUCCCACAAUAGGACGAAACGGUCGUCUAAUGC